rfam:Clostridium celatum DSM 1785 genomic scaffold Scfld22, whole genome shotgun sequence.
AUACAUAUAUUACAAAAAACUCGUAUAAAUCGGUAAUAUGGUCCGAGUGUUUCUACCUGCUAACCGUAAAAUAGCAGACUACGAGGAUCUGUUAUAAAUAU